AUUCAAGGCCUCUUCCAGAUGUAGCCCUGACUGGGAAGUGCACUCGUGAGUGUGAUGAGUAUGGCCACUCAGACUCCUGCUGGAUGCCUGUCCGCACUUCUCCUGAGAGGAAGAAGAGUCAGCCCAAACUGUCUACUUUCAUGCCUGUUGAUGAACGAGGAAGCCAGGAAAAGCUGGCCAAUGGCGAGGCCGCUAUCAUGGGUGACCGCAACAGGAACCUCCUGAACAAAAAGUUGACCUCAUCCUAUGAGACCUUCAGUGCAGCUAGUUUCAGCAAAAAUGAGGAAGCCAACCCUGAGGAUAUUCCCCUGACAAAAACAGGGGAAUAUAAGCCAUCUCCUGUCAAUACUCUCACUAGAAGAGAAGUUUACCUGUAGGCUAUCAAGGAGCAACAGCAAAGUUCUUUUCAUGUAUGAGAAGGAGAAUAUGGGGCAAAAACCUUACAAAGCAAAACCAUGUAAUCACAAAGAGGGGGCUACCAAAGAGACAAAGCUUUGCCUGCCACUUCUGCCUCCAGAUCAGGCCUUUAGUGAUACUGUUAGCCUGAUGAUAAUGUACAAUGUAGAAACCAUCCUUGUUAUUGCAUGUCUAACCCCUUCACUGACUCCCAAUACCCACUCUCUUCCCCAACACCCUUCCAAAAAAAAAAAAAAAAAAAAGAUGGUUGCAAGUUUGUUCAUGGUAACAAGCCUGAUUAGCAGAACACAACACACUCUCAUUAUCCCUAAGCUAAAGCAUGACUGUAGUCACUUUGAUUUUGUUCGAGUGUCAUCGGCUGGUUUAGAAAGCAGGGCAGGUAAAUAUAUUCCACACAUGCCAUCAUCAGAAUAGAUCGGAAAAGAAGAUAACAAAACAGCAGAUGUAAUUUUGGGUUGAACACCAAAUCAAGCCUCUCAUGGUGUUAGUGGUGUCUCUCUCCUGUCCCCACCCCGCUGUGUCUUCUUUGCCUUUGUUCAGAGUACCCUUUAAUAUGUAACAGGGAUCUUUCUAUAAGUCUCAGGAUUCUGUCUGUCAGUCUCACGAGACAGCUCAGACUCACGGAUGGCCCUCACAAUAAAAUGUCACCCAAUUUCUUAUGACUUUUCCCU
ensembl:lncRNA